AAACAUUUACAAGCUUUAUUUUAUUUUAUUUUAUCGAAUUCGGAAUUCGCUUUCACGUCCAACAAGAAAGCACAUUGGCUUAUCAGACUUUUCGAGUACUAGAAGAGCUUCGAAGUACCAAAUUCAUCGUCAUCAAUGGAGCUCUUCGGAGCCACUGCUUUCUCGUGGACCCACUCCAUCUCUUCCUCGAUUCACGUCACUCGCUCAUUCUAUGUUAAGACGUGUGAGACUAGGAGGUUCAGGGUUUGGUGCAGUUCUGAUCAAGCCCAGAAGGCAAAUCAGAUGACUGUAUCAGUGACUGGAGCUACAGGUUUUAUAGGUAGAAGAUUGGUGCAAAGGCUGCAUGCAGAUAAUCACCACAUUCGUGUCUUGACACGCUCUAAAUCUAAGGCUGAGUUAAUUUUUCCGGGUAAGAAGUCAAGGACUUUCCAGGAAUAGUGAUUGCAGAGGAGCCAGGGUGGAAAGACUGCAUUCAAGGUUCCAAUGGUGUUGUGAACUUGGCUGGAUUGCCCAUUAGUACACGAUGGUCUUCUGAGAUCAAGAAAGAGAUUAAGCAAAGCCGGAUUAGAGUCACCUCAAAGGUUGUAGAUUUAAUAAAUGAUGCACCAGAUGCAGUUCGGCCUACAGUUUUAGUCAGUGCAACAGCUGUUGGUUACUACGGCAGUAGUGAAACACAAGUAUUUGACGAACAGAGUCCAUCGGGAAAUGAUUACUUGGCUGAGGUGUGUAGAGAAUGGGAAGCUACAGCCCUCAGAGUAAAUAAGGACGUUAGAUUAGCACUUAUACGCAUUGGCGUUGUUCUUGGUAAAGAUGGCGGUGCUUUAGCUAAAAUGAUCCCUCUCUUCAUGAUGUUUGCUGGUGGUCCUUUGGGAACUGGGAAACAAUGGUUUUCUUGGAUUCAUCUGGAUGACAUAGUGAACCUAAUAUAUGAAGCUCUUUCCAAUCCAUCUUAUAAAGGCGUUAUCAAUGGAACUGCACCAAACCCUGUUAGAUUGACUGAAAUGUGUGAACAAUUGGGAAAUGUCAUGGGCCGGCCCUCAUGGCUUCCUGUACCUGACCUUGCGCUCAAAGCAGUCCUUGGAGAAGGUGCUUCAGUGGUUCUGGAAGGGCAACGGGUGCUCCCCGCUCGAGCCAAGGAAUUGGGUUUCCCAUUCAAGUACUCCUAUGUGAAAGAUGCACUUAAAGCCAUUCUUUCAUAGGAAAGUUGGCGCAUUAUGUGACAUAAGAUAAACGGGUAUUCUUUAUUCUUUGGGUCAAAGGCGUUAAGGCUCCAGCAAACAUCAACAAAUUGUGCAUUCAGAAUUUAUUCACUCUGCAUGGAAACCGUGGCCUCGUUUUUCUCGUCUUCGAACAGUUCUAUGCAAAACUAUCUUAGCAUGCACAUCAUAUUGUGUUGGGAUUUCUUCAUCGUAGGUUAUUACAAUGUUUCUGAUGUAGAUUGUAGUAAUGGAUACAACUAGAUGCGUUUCUUCUGUU